GACGAACGCUGGCGGCGUGCUUAACACAUGCAAGUCGUACGAUGACCCGGCUCUUCGGAGCUGGUGAUUAGUGGCGAACGGGUGAGUAACACGUGGGUGACCUGCCCUGCACUCUGGGAUAAGCCCGGGAAACUGGGUCUAAUACUGGAUACGACCAGUGGCCGCAUGGUCUGCUGGUGGAAAGCCCUUCGGGGUGGUGUGGGAUGGGCCCGCGGCCUAUCAGCUUGUUGGUGGGGUGAUGGCCUACCAAGGCGACGACGGGUAGCCGGCCUGAGAGGGUGUCCGGCCACACUGGGACUGAGACACGGCCCAGACUCCUACGGGAGGAAGCAGUGGGGAAUCUUGCACAAUGGGCGAAAGCCUGAUGCAGCGACGCCGCGUGAGGGAUGACGGCCUUCGGGUUGUAAACCUCUUUCGGCAGGGAACAAGCCUGGGGGUUGUCUUCUGGGUGAGGGUACCUGCGGAAGAAGCACCGGCUAACUACGUG
rnacentral:rRNA from 1 species